AUUUUACUUUCACACUGCAAACGCUGUCCACUUCUGAUGAGCUUGUUCUGUGUUUGUGUUUUUAUUGCAGAUUUUAUUCAUGAACAAGAUCGACCUUUUUCAAGACAAGAUUUUACACUCUGGGCGACAUCUGCGUUUGUACCUGCCACAGUUCAAAGGUGCAGACUGCGACGUGGACUCGUCCGCCCGCUUCAUCGCCGCCACCUUCCUCUCGCUCAACGCCGCUCCCAGCAAACUCGUCUACCACCACUUCACCACGGCCACGGACACCUCCAACGUCGAGGUCGUCUUCGAGGUGGUUAUGGACACCAUAGUCAAAGAGAACCUGGAGGCCGUGUCUCUCCUGUAACGGCCGGCGGAGGUGCAGCUUGGAGCUCUGACGCUCUUCUCCUGUGAUGCUUGAUUCUCGGGGGUUGAACCCUAAAAACAAUGACUUUUGAAACCUUGUGUUGAGGCAUUUUGUAUUUUCUACAAAAUCAGACUAUGAAUGGUGAAGUUACGCUUGGAGGUCUCGUUACAUGCCGUUUAUUUGUGUGUUUGUGGGCGGGCAGGACAGAGAGGGGGUGAUGAUUUAGUGUUUGUCCGUUGUGUCCUCAGUGCAGAGGCGUGAUCACUUUCAACGCCCCCCCCAGUUUGUGUUUAACUUCUCCUCUCGCACCCGGUUCAUUGUAAUCUGUACCUCCACUCACUGGUUUUUAAUAUAAGAAAUAGGUAAAGAAACCUCCUUGAAGCUGUGAUGUUUCAUCGUGUGACACACACACACUCUGGAUCCCUGCCGGGCGAUGCUUCCUACGUGUUUGUAUUGUGUGGGACUUUGCCAGAGUCUGACUGAUGUGAUAGUUAUUUGCUCUGGGGAGCCUUCAAACCAGCUUUGUGACUCCAGUAAUGAACAGGAUCUGGUAAUGACUGAUAUGCUCCGCUAUAAAUACUGAAGAUGAAAGAAAAUCACCCCAGGUGCCUUUAUGAUGAAGUGGUUUUGCGUUGUGUAAUUUGAAGACUUCAUAUGUGUAUGAACUUAACAAAUAUUCCUUCUCUUCUUUUCUCCACUUUCUGAAUAAUUGUCUUCACUCUUUAAGUCUGACCGUCACACUUAUAUGGUG
ensembl:lncRNA